CUGAAAGUGUGGACUUGCCUUGGGACAACUGGAGGAUCCAAUUAGGCAGCUGGCAUAGCUCUGGAUCUUCAGGUCAUUGGUGGUGCCUGGAGAAGUCCUGUUGAGGUACAGGCUGGGAUUUGGUUAUCUUCAACUCCAGAAUGAUGAUGGUCCCCUGCACCUGCCUCCACCCAGUGCUACUAAGACUCAGUCUUUUGCAAUAAUGCAUUUACCACAAAGUGCUCACUGUCCUAGGAAUCUGUCUGCCUACUCCAGAUGAACAAGGCCAUGUCUGACUCAUCCCAGAUUCUGUAACGGCUGGCAAGGACAAGGCAAAGAGAGGCUUUUCAAAAG